AAGACCGUGUAGACGACGCUUCAUUGCAAUGACAUUUAUUGCGCGCGCGUCCUUUGAUGGAAAUAUCGAACGCUCAUUCAACAAAUACGAUGGCGCCAAGAUGACGAGAUCGAGGUUGCGAUAAAAAAUCAUAUCAGGCGACUGUCUAGGUAAGUUUUUCCAAGUCUGUUUUGAAUCUCGUGAUUUUUCUUCUUGUUCCAAGCACGUGCUCCAAACAAUAUCGCAGAUGACAAAGAUUAUUCCAGAUUGUUAUUGCGGAAAUCUAUUUUAUUGUGCCUCGCACUAUGAUAAGAUACUACUGAUCGAUGAUGGAUUAAAAAUUGAUUUAUUAUCUCUGUAAACUUUCCAUUAAAAAGAAGUCGCUGUAAAUUGAUCAGUUAAGUAAAAUGAGGAUCAGUUAGAUCUGGUUUAAAUUUUUAAUCAUACUCAAUAAUUAAGUAACUUAUCCGACACUUUAAAAAAAUAAUUAAACCUAAUUCAUUGAAAUUUAUAUUUAUUGAUACUAAA